rnacentral:rRNA from 1 species
AGAGUUUGAUCCUGGCUCAGAUUGAACGCUGGCGGCAGGCCUAACACAUGCAAGUCGAGCGGCAGCACAGAGGAACUUGUUCCUUGGGUGGCGAGCGGCGGACGGGUGAGUAAUGCCUAGGAAAUUGCCCUGAUGUGGGGGAUAACCAUUGGAAACGAUGGCUAAUACCGCAUGAUGCCUACGGGCCAAAGAGGGGGACCUUCGGGCCUCUCGCGUCAGGAUAUGCCUAGGUGGGAUUAGCUAGUUGGUGAGGUAAUGGCUCACCAAGGCGACGAUCCCUAGCUGGUCUGAGAGGAUGAUCAGCCACACUGGAACUGAGACACGGUCCAGACUCCUACGGGAGGCAGCAGUGGGGAAUAUUGCACAAUGGGCGCAAGCCUGAUGCAGCCAUGCCGCGUGUAUGAAGAAGGCCUUCGGGUUGUAAAGUACUUUCAGUCGUGAGGAAGGURGUGUAGUUAAUAGCAUGCAUCUAUUUGACGUAGCGACAGAAGA